rnacentral:rRNA from 1 species
AGUGAACGCUGGCGGUAGGCCUAACACAUGCAAGUCGAACGGCAGCACAGUAAGAGCUUGCUCUUACGGGUGGCGAGUGGCGGACGGGUGAGGAAUACAUCGGAAUCUGCUUUUUCGUGGGGGAUAACGUAGGGAAACUUACGCUAAUACCGCAUACGACCUACGGGUGAAAGCAGGGGAUCUUCGGACCUUGCGCGAUUGAAUGAGCCGAUGUCGGAUUAGCUAGUUGGCGGGGUAAAGGCCCACCAAGGCGACGAUCCAUAGCUGGUCUGAGAGGAUGAUCAGCCACACUGGAACUGAGACACGGUCCAGACUCCUACGGGAGGCAGCAGUGGGGAAUAUUGGACAAUGGGCGCAAGCCUGAUCCAGCCAUACCGCGUGGGUGAAGAAGGCCUUCGGGUUGUAAAGCCCUUUUGUUGGGAAAGAAAAGCAGCAGGUUAAUACCCCGCUGUUCUGACGGUACCCAAAGAAUAAGCACCGGCUAACUUCGUG